rnacentral:rRNA from 1 species
GUGGGGAAUUUUGGACAAUGGGCGCAAGCCUGAUCCAGCAAUGCCGCGUGCGGGAAGAAGGCCUUCGGGUUGUAAACCGCUUUUGUCAGGGAAGAAACGUUCUGGGUUAAUACCCUGGAGUAAUGACGGUACCUGAAGAAUAAGCACCGGCUAACUACGUGCCAGCAGCCGCGGUAAUACGUAGGGUGCGAGCGUUAAUCGGAAUUACUGGGCGUAAAGCGUGCGCAGGCGGUCAUGCAAGACAGAUGUGAAAUCCCCGGGCUCAACCUGGGAACUGCAUUUGUGACUGCAUGACUAGAGUACGGCAGAGGGGGAUGGAAUUCCGCGUGUAGCAGUGAAAUGCGUAGAUAUGCGGAGGAACACCGAUGGCGAAGGCAAUCCCCUGGGCCUGUACUGACGCUCAUGCACGAAAGCGUGGGGAGCAAACAGG